rnacentral:rRNA from 1 species
CCCUUGGAUGUUCUGGGCCGCACGCGCGCUACACUGAUGCAUUCAACGAGCCUAGCCUUGACCGAGAGGUCCGGGUAAUCUUUGAAACUGCAUCGUGAUGGGGCUAGAUUAUUGCAAUUAUUAAUCUUCAACGAGGAAUGCCUAGUAAGCGUGAUUCAUCAAAUCGCGUUGAUUACGUCCCUGCCCUUUGUACACACCGCCCGUCGCUCCUACCGAUUGAGUGUGUUGGUGAGGAGUUUGGAUUGGCCUCGGAAGGUGGUUCGCCACCGUCCGUAGCUGAGAAGUUCUCCAAACCGCCCCACUUAGAGGAAGGAGAAGUCGUAACA